AUAAGACUUCUGCUGUUCCAUGAUGGAUCUGCUUUUCCUGGAUGAGGUAUACCAGCUGAGGUGCCAGCUCACUGAACUCUGGAUCAUCCUCAUCUGGAGACAGUCUGUGUUUACAGAGAGAUCCACUUACAUUGCUUGCCACCACACUGAGGCUCUGUAAUACAGAAAUUCUGAUAAUCCCUCCUUGCCUUGUCUUCUAUGAACACCAGACUGUACAGCACCCUCAUCUUUACCCACCACACACUGUGUGUUUUAGCAGCAAGGGAGGGAUGUGGGGAUCCACAGAGGUGCACACUGGAAA